GAUUAUGGCUCAGGAUGAACGCUAGCGGCAGGCCUAAUACAUGCAAGUCGUACGGGAGACGCCCUUCGGGGUGUCGAGGGUGGCGGACGGGUGCGUAACGCGUAUGCAACCCACCCCCGACGGGCGGAUGGCCGGUGGAAACGCCGGAUAACCCGCCAUGCGGCCCCACAGGGGCAUCCCUGUGGAGUCAAAGCGGCGACGCGGUCGGGGACGGGCAUGCGUCCCAUUAGAUAGCAGGCGGGGUGACGGCCCACCUGGUCGACGAUGGGUAGGGGAUCUGAGAGGACGGUCCCCCCACACUGGUACUGAGACACGGACCAGACUCCUGCGGGAGGCAGCAGUAAGGGAUAUUGGUCAAUGGACGAGAGUCUGAACCAGCCAAGUCGCGUGCAGGAAGAAUGUCCUAUGGAUUGUAAACUGCUUUUGCAGGGGAAUAAAGUGCAUCACGUGUGAUGUUUUGUAUGUACUCUGCGAAUAAGGAUCGGCUAACUCCGUGCCAGCCGCGGC
rnacentral:rRNA from 1 species